rnacentral:lncRNA from 1 species
CAAGGCUACUGGAGGCUCUUGGCCUUCCUGGUGGUGGAAAUGGCAGCCCUUCUGUACAGGUCUCCCGGGGGGGGGGGGGAAUUCAAAAGCACCAAGAGCAGUAAAACUGCUGAGGACAGGAGCUGUGGACUGUUGGUUUUAUACAGAACUCGAUGUUGAAGGAGAAACUCCAGGGAGCUUUAAAAGAUGAAGACAGCGCUUUUAUUCCUUGUCAUGGAUUCCCGGCCCCAGCGUGCUCGGAGGCAGGCGGCCAGAAGGCGAGAAGCUCAGCCCCGCGCCUGAGUGGCACCGGGACCGGGGAGGAGCCGACGACUCAGCCGGCUUGCCUUGCCUAGCCAGCGAGUUCAUUCCGCCGCGCUCCUCCUGAGCGGCUGGGGAGAGAGACGGCGAGGGGGAGGCGCGGGCAGGGAGCCUCGGCUGACAAAGGGCUGCGGACGGCUCCAAGCAAAACGGCUCGGACGGAGAAGACGGGGAGGAGGAGGCAGCCCGCGCUGCCUUCCCCGGGCGGGGCUUUUUCUCGGAGACUCGCGCAGUCCGUGGAGGAGCGCGAGCAGCUGAGGCUGAGGCUGCAGGGAGAGAGCUCCGCGAGGACGUCCGCCCAGAUGACGGCGCGGUGAAGAAGUGCGCGGAUUUUGUGCGCUGCUGCCCGGGCCGGCGGUUUUCAGCUGUGCUCGGUCGGGAGGACUCCGCCGGGGUUUGUUCCCUCUGACGCACCUCGGGCACCUUGUCUUGGCACUGGCACGGCACGGUGUGGCAGCUGCCUUCGCUGCCUGCCGGGGUUGGUUGGUUUGGUUAGAGGCAGCGAUAGGCUGGGUGUGAUCUGGACAACGAGACCUGUGUGACGACCUGACUGCUGUGAAAUGCUCGCCGGAGCGGCACCCGGACGUCCACUUGCUGCACCUUGAGCGGGAAACACGCAGAGGCCGAGGCGCCGUGCUGACUUGCCGCCUGCGAAUCUCUUCCCCGUAACAAGGUCCGUGCCAGGAAAGUGCAAAGAGUGUGAAUUGACACUUCAGGAUUAUCCUCGAUAGGAAGUUUCUCAGGCUGCGCUUUGAACGCCUCGGGCUGCGGAGAAAACNGCUGGUGAGGCUUCCCAAGGCUUCUGAUUGAGCUUCUCCGCUCCUGAGCCAAUUUAAGUAGGAGACAGGAAUCUCCCUCAGGCAGCAAAGAGACCCUUUGACUGCCCUUCNCCAAGCCCCGUUCCAGCUGGUAAGGAUCGUUUCUCCUCUCACAACUUGCCUUUUGGAGAACGAAGGGAAAGACGGUGAGGUUCCAGCCGGCAGUUCGCCGUGUGCCUCUGAAGUCGCUCCUUGCCUGGUCGAGAGGCUUUUCGUU